rnacentral:rRNA from 1 species
UACGUAGGGUCCGAGCGUUUGUCCGGAGUUACUGGGCGUAAAGCGCGCGCAGGCGGCUCGUCAAGUCUGGCGUGAAAGCCCCCCGGCUCAACCGGGGAGGGUCGUCGGAGACUGGCGAGCUUGAGGGCGGUAGGGGGCUGGUGGAAUUCCCGGUGUAGUGGUGAAAUGCGUAGAGAUCGGGAGGAACACCCGUGGCGAAGGCGGCCAGCUGGGCCGUCCCUGACGCUGAGGCGCGAAGGCGUGGGGAGCGAACGGG